rnacentral:rRNA from 1 species
AUUGAACGCUGGCGGCAGGCCUAACACAUGCAAGUCGAACGGUAACAGGAAGCAGCUUGCUGCUUUGUUGACGAGUGGCGGACGGGUGAGUAAUGUCUGGGAAACUGCCUGAUGGAGGGGGAUAACUACUGGAAACGGUAGCUAAUACCGCAUAACGUCGCAAGACCAAAGAGGGGGACCUUCGGGCCUCUUGCCAUCGGAUGUGCCCAGAUGGGAUUAGCUAGUAGGUGGGGUAACGGCUCACCUAGGCGACGAUCCCUAGCUGGUCUGAGAGGAUGACCAGCCACACUGGAACUGAGACACGGUCCAGACUCCUACGGGAGGCAGCAGUGGGGAAUAUUGCACAAUGGGCGCAAGCCUGAUGCAGCCAUGCCGCGUGUAUGAAGAAGGCCUUCGGGUUGUAAAGUACUUUCAGCGGGGAGGAAGGGAGUAAAGUUAAUACCUUUGCUCAUUGACGUUACCCGCAGAAGAAGCACCGGCUAACUCCGUG